AAGAAGGAAUUGAUGAACAGCUAUUCCAAGAUGCAAAAGUGUGUAUAAUAAACUCUUAUAUUUUUUCAAUGUUUAAUAAUUAUGACAUAAUUGCAAAGUUAGAUAACAUUCGGGCAAAUGAUCAUGAUAUUAAUCAUAUAAAUAAUUUUUCAAACUAUAUUAAUGACGUGGAAUUAGAAAAUGUAAAUGAAUUAGCCAAAUCUUUAUUAGAUACUGAAAAUUUAUUUUUUUGUGGAAGUUGGAAAAUACCAUCAAGAUACGAACAACAUUCAGAAAUACACUUUAGGUGUAUGGUCUAUAAGAGCUGAAAGUAUCGCAAAAUAGUUAUAUAAGGUUGCUUGGAGUGUGUAAAUUAUCUCCUAGCAAAAAGCACUUGAUAUUAGUGCCUCCUUUUAUAUACAGCAACAUCUCUUUUAUCAUUU